AGAAGGAAUUUGGUGAUUUUGUGGAUCACUUCCAACACUGAACUUCGACAAUCUGCAGCUUCCUCCGUGUGGCCAUCAGGUUUGUGCGAGGACAAUGUUGAUGAAAGAGUACCGCAUCUGCAUGCCCCUGACAG